rnacentral:lncRNA from 1 species
CUGGAGCAAGUGCGUCACUGGGGAGGGUGGGCUGUAUUGGAUUGUGUAAGAUGUGAGCUCUCUGCUUCUUAGUCACCCUGUGACUUAACUACCUGUCUUGCCGUCUUCUUGUCCCAGAAUUAAGCAACUUCGGCCCCUCCUUUCCUUCCCUGUGAUAGACUUUGCACUCUCAACCAUGAGCGUCAGUCAGUCAUCCCUCCCUCCCUCCCCUCUCUCCCUUCCCUCCCUCCUUCCUCUCCCCCUACCCCCUACUUCCUCAAGUUGCCUUCUUCUUGUCUAGAAAAAUAAGUAAGAGACUCUUAGGAUGGAAGAAGGAUGAAAACUCAGCCGAGGAAGUUCUUCUUGGGGCUCUGAAUCCUGGGUACUAUUUGGGGAUGCAUUUGCAUUUCUGGAAUCUAUGGGUGUCGAGAUGGUCAGAGAGCUACCAUAUUAGAGCAGAAAAACAUAACAAGGGAAGAGAUGCAACUUAGGGAGAUGACGGAGACAUCUGUCGGCGGACCUGAGUUCCCAGCACCUAAGUCAGGAUGCUCGCGACUUCUGUGAUGCCAGCUCCAAGGGAUCUAACGCCCUCUUCUGGACUCCAGGGAUCCCUGUAGCAUAGAGGAGGGUGAGCGGCAACCUUGGAUACACUCAAACCGCUCGGGAACGGAUGCUCAUCUCACCUGCCAGCCUCCUGCAAUGCCAAGUUGUUCUGCGGCCCAACUGGCGUUGUAACCAAUGAAUUCAAGCCCUGCCAAUCAAACAGCUACCGCAUCAGAAGAUUCAUUCUGUUUGGAACGUACAGAAGACCCUUCCAUUUCUCAGUUGAA